rnacentral:lncRNA from 1 species
ACAGAACACAACUUGCAGACAGAAUACCAACACAUACAACAGAUGGAUCGCAUCUUUUAGGAUCCUCAACAUGUAUAACCCAAUUUAUCAUUACCCAGAAACAAAAAGCGUCACUGCACCGUACCACCACAACAGUUAAUAGCUACAAAAACCUUUAGGUUCUAAUAAGCCAAUUUUGUUCUCAAUAGACAAUUAGAACAUGACGUCGCUAUGCUUCCAUAGUUCCAAAUGCAUAAAGUAUGCCAGGAGAACAUCCCAACUUGAAUUUUGUGGCCACAAAAUUUAGCGAAGAGAAAAAACUGCUAGCUUUCUAUAUACACACACACAACAUCAGGUUAUGCAUAUAAUCGCUUGCCAAUCAAAAAUUGUAGAAGAAAUUUUGCUAAAAUUGUAAGGAGGUGUGUAUGCCUUAGUAUAAUAAGGAACCCGACACACUUGACCAUAAAGCAUAAGCUCACAUCAGAUUCCAGAAACGCAAACAAUCCAUUGACAGAACAAUUGUUAUAUAAAUGUACAAAGAUAUCACCCACUGCUGAAAAGAUAACAACUGAACUUUGGUAUUAUAUUCAAUAUUUGAAUGUACUGGCAACUUCACAUGCAUCCCAUCUCUUUUCAUUUCAUUGUUAACCUUUAAUUUCCUACAAACCAUGAAACCAUAACGAAAGCAUGGAUGGUAGCAAAAUAACUUAUUGAUGAGCACCGAAGAUCAGAUGCUCACCACGAUUUAUCUAGCUUAUCGAAGAAGUACAAACCUUCCAGAUCAGUAAUACACACAUAGAAGAAUAACUCCACAAAAUUUCAAGUCAAAACGGAUUCUUACAUCCUAAUCAAACUCGAGUUCAAAACAGCAACACUGCAUAACAUAGACACAAUUUCAGCAUAGAGCACUCAACUUCAGAAAAUCACUACAAAGCGCCUACCCUAUCAAAUAGUAUCAAACUUUCUAGAUCAAGAGUUCACAUAUGGAAGAAAAAGAGUACAAAGUUUCAGAGCAAAUGGAGUCCUAAAUCUUGAUCAAAAUCAGACUCAAAAACAGCUGCACACAUAACACGAAUACAAUUUCAAACAUGUGAACAAAGUACAAUGAAGAAAGAUGUAUACACUGUUCCUUGUCCAACCCAUUUUGCCCCGCAGCAUAAUAGGAAAGCCAUGUGCAGUACUUUUUAGUUUGGAUAAGUUUAUGCCACACAUCAUAAUCCUUUUAUUUUAAGGAUCCUCUUCAUCGAUGUAGAAUCAUGUAUCAAUUCAAUCCAAUUCGAUCAAUUCAAUCUUAUUAGUGUUUAACAUGCAUCCACAUCCACAUCAAAGCCAAAAAUUGAAACCUUGAAAUGAAUAAUGAACCCCUCCUCUUCAUUGAUGUAGAAUCGUUGAGCUUCUGAAGCUCAUAACCUGCAAAAUCACCUUGUUCUUGUUGCCAAACCCAAAUUAAUUUUCAUCAGUCCCUCUCUAUCAGUAAGACACCGUAGUGGAAAGAAAAACAGUCGCACAGUGCGACGAAAAAUAGUAUGUUAAAUCCUCAUUGGACUAAUUGGAUAUGGUCAACUUAACCUUUUGGAUCAGAAUACAAAUAGAACACAAAAACCAUGGGUCGGUGGUAUUGUAAAUUGAAAGAAAAUAGAGGGGUAUAUAAGUCAAAGUGGGGGUGAAUAAGUACCCAAUGUAUCUAACCAUCCAUCCAUCCAAACCAUUAUUUUUUCUCUCUCUAAAAAUAUCUGGUUUUCUCUCUCUAGAGAGGUCUCUGUAAAUCGUCUGAAUCAAAAAGAUCAAAUCUUUGGGUUUAGUUUUUUUUUUUUUUUUCGCGGGAAGAGAUGUCAGGUAAAGGCGCCAAGGGUUUGAUUCAUGGCAAAGGAGCCAGCAACAGCAAAGAUAAGGACAAGAAGAAACCCACCUCCCGAUCCUCACGAGCUGGCCUUCAGGUGAUUACCUUUGCUUCUUUGUUCUUGUUUUUUCUUGAUUUUGGGAUUUUAGGGUUUCGAAUUUGAUUGUUGAGGUUGAGUUUGGGGGGUUUAAUUUGGUAAAGAUUGGAACUUUUUUUGGUUUUGGUAUUGGGUUUUGGUUUGUUUUGGUGAUGAGAAAGCGAAUUAGAAUACCCACAUGGGUUUGGGAACUUAAAAGAUUUAGUUUUUACGGAUGAAUAAUAGUUGUUGAAUUGAGAGUUGAUUUGGAUCGUUUUGGAAGGGCAUGAUUUUGUGUUUUUUCCUUAAACCAUGUUUGUUAGGAGAACCAUAAUCCGAUUGAAGAGUUUGAACUUGAUAGAGAUUUGAUAGAUAGAUACAUUGGAGGGGUGAAUUUUGAAGUUUGAAGUGUCUCGCUCCUCUGGAACAUGCUCUAUUCUAGAUUGUUGUUUACAUUAUGAAUUUUCAGGGUAUAACUGUUUCGAUAAGAUUGUGGAUGUCUAGAAGACUAGAAUAGACUAUGCUUGCUCUAUGUGUCUUGGUAAACAUGAUUGAGUCUUCCUACUCAUAGUAAACAGUUUAAAGUUUCUAAAAGUCCUACCUGAAUCUGUUAGAGAAGUACCAGCUAUACAAUAGAAAUAAUUUCGGUAUAUGAUGUUGAUUACAUAAGUUGUUGGAAUGAUGAUAAACCUACUUAUUUAUAUGAUGUUAGAGACGGAGGAUCCUAAUUAGAUACCUGCAAUCUCCCAAUUAUUAACUUUCAUGAAUAGACUCUCUAGUGGUGAGGGAACGAAGGGUUUGAAUGUAAGAAAGUAGAAACUUCUUAAGACUUUCAUUUAAAAACAUAGCUUCAGCCGUAUGUUAUGAACUUCCAAAGUGUUUCUCUGUCUCACUUUUUGUCCAUUAUUUUCAAGUCAGUUUAUGGACUAUACUAGAGUUGUUGAAUUUCUGCCAUCUACUAAUUCUGUGGUGACAAAUUUCUAGUUCCCGGUGGGUCGUAUCCACCGUCUCCUGAAGCAAAGGACCACAGCUAAUGGGAGAGUGGGAGCGACUGCUGCAGUUUAUUCUGCAGCUAUCUUGGAGUAUCUAACUGCUGAAGUUUUAGAGUUGGCAGGCAAUGCCAGCAAAGAUCUGAAGGUGAAGCGUAUCACUCCCAGGCAUUUGCAGCUUGCAAUCCGUGGUGACGAAGAACUUGAUACUCUGAUAAAAGGUACCAUUGCUGGUGGAGGUGUCAUCCCUCACAUUCACAAGUCACUUAUCAACAAGUCCACCAAGGAGUAAUGAUGAGGGCCAAAAUUCUAUGAGGAGACUCUCCUUUGUGACUUAGGAUCAUGUGUUUUAGUAAUUCGUUAUUUUGCUAGUUAAUUUUCAUGUCUGAUAGUAUUUGUAAUGGAUAAUGGGAUCAGAAACUCUUCUUUUUUAUUAUUAAUCUAGGCUUACUCUAGGAACCCUGUCAUAAUGUCGUAUUGCAUCCCUGGUAUUAAAGGCGUGUUUGAGCUACAAUUGUUGUUUUUCUACCAUUCUAUUUUACAUGAAUUCAGUUGAUGAUGGCAUAACUGCUCUCAAUCGAAGAUGCGGUUCUUUUUAUGCUGCAAGGUGAAAGGUCUAUCUUCAUGUUAUUGACAUAUGUUUACUCGAGUAGUUUCCAUGAAUCAUCAACAGCAGUCAUUUGUGAAAGAAGAUGGGAACAGGUUUUAGUUCCAACAACCUAUUAAAGAUCUGAAAGGCGCGAAUUCAAUUGAAUACUCAUAAAUCCAUGUCCUUCUCAAUAUUCACUGCACAUUCCUCUUAAUCAAUACAGAUAAACAACCAUUAGCAUUAGUAAAUAAGUGAAAAAUUUCCUGCACUCCAACCUAAAACCACCAAAUAAUCUGCGCUAGAAGCAAUGAAAGUCCUUCCUAGAACCUUAAACAUGGAAAAGAACGAAAACCAAUUCUAAACUUCUCAUUAAGAAAAAAUAUCUAGCAAAAGCCACCAAAAUGGUAGUGGCGUAAGAAUGGGGACGACCAACUUAGAAAUUUAGAAGGUUGUCACUCUUGGAACAUCAACUGGGAACUGAUCAAUUUCAGCCAUCCACGGGCUCUUUUCCUUGGCAGGAUCUAUAGUCUUGAGAGCUUUCCACACAGCACUGUUACACUUGAAUCCCGACCCGAAAGCUAUCUGCCAUGUUCUAUCUCCUUUCUUAAUCCUUCCCUUUGCUUCUGUGUAAGCUAACUCAUACCAGAGAGAACUGCUUGAGGUGUUUCCAAAUCGGUAUAGUGUCAUCCUUGAUGGCUCCAUAUGCCAAUCAGACAGAUGCAGGUUCUUCUCCAAUUCAUCCAAGACGGCUCUUCCCCCAGCAUGAAUGCAGAAAUGGUCAAAAGCAAGUCUGAAAUCUGGGAUGUAAGGUUUGAUCUUCAUCUUGAACAGUUUCCUACCCACCAAUGUAGCAAAGAAAAGCAGCUGCUCGGACAUUGGAAGAACAAGAGGCCCCAGUGUGGUGAUAUUGGUCUUCAAAGCAUCACCUGCUACAGCCAUCAGGUCCUUCGAUAGUGUGACACCAAUAUGCCCAGCAUCAUCUUCUUCUUGAGUAACACAGCUAAAGCACUUGUCAUCAGCACCCUUGUGCGUGCGGACAGUAUGGACUAAUUGGUACUUGGACCUCCUUCUGUCUGAGUUUUUGUUUGAAAGAAGUAUAGCAGCCCCUCCCAUCCGGAAUAAGCAAUUUGAAACAAGCUUUGAACGAUCAUUGCCAAAGUACCAGUUCAAUGUAAUGUUCUCCAUGCUGAUAACCAGCGCAUAAGAGUUAGGAUGCACCUGAAGAAGCUUUUGAGCAAGAUCAAUUGAGAUGAGCCCCGCGCUACAUCCCAUUCCACCAAGAUUGUAGCUGACUAUAUUCCCUCGAAGCUGGUAAUGAUUGAUAACCAUGGCAGAAAGAGAUGGAGUUGGAUUGAACAAGCUGCAGUUGACAAUCAAGAUUCCGAUGUCCUUGGGUUUUACAGAUGUCUUGGCAAAUAGCUCGUCAAUGGCACCAUACAUCACUGCCUCAGCUUCUUUCCUGGCUUCUUUCAUUGACGGAUUUGGGGGAAUGUUAAGUACAGCCUCUGGAAGGUAUGUUGAAUCACCAAGGCCGGAUCUCUCAAGGAUCCUUCUCUGGAACUGUAGAUUCUCUUCUGUGAAUGUACCAGUCAUCGUAGACUGAUCCAUGAAAAUCUUUUUCGUGCAUUUUCGAGUUUCUUCUGGCUUGUAACAAGAAAAGUUAACAAGGUACACAGGGCGAGGGCGGGUAAGAAAGUAUACAGUGGAUAGGAACACCAGGAGGGUCGAGCAGAUGAUCACCGAAAUCAGGUUGUAUUGGAGAUGCUCCCAUAGAUCAUAUAGAUCUUGGAGCGAAAAUGUGGAGAGCUGGGCAGCAAUAACAAUGACAAGAGGGGAAAGGAAAAGGUACAUUCCAUGGGUGAUGAGAAUAUGGUAACCAAGCUUCACAUAUUUUAGCUUAAUGGAUUUUUUGAAGUCGGGGAGGUUCCUAUUGUUUGAGGGUCUAGAUGAUGGUGGGAUCAAUGGUGUAUCUGGUUUUGGUUCCGCCAUAUUUCCCUGAUAAACAUACAACACCUCUAAUCAGAUCAAAUGCACAACAAAAUCAUAAACCAAUGUAUUAAUAGAAAAUUAUAAUCACAGAAGAUGAACUACCAGAGACUAAAAAUUAAAUUAGUAAAGGGUGGUUUUCCAGAACAUAAAGGCAAAUUCCAAUAGCUUUUCAAUUGGCAUCCAACCAGAAAUGACUCUUGGAAAGCCAAUGGAGCUUUUCAAAAAAGAAGGUUGUCUAUUAUUUACAGCUACAUAUCACACUGAGAUAAUGAAAAGGCAGAAAGAACACCUAAUGGUCCCAAUCCAAGCACCAAUUCAAAAAUGGUGGAACAGAACAAAAGCUACACACUUUGAUCCUUACAAGUUGGAGCCAAAGUGCUAAACACAAUCCAAACACAACCCCAGAUCAGAUUUUUCCAAUAAAGAACACUUCUUUCCAAACAAAUCAGCAGAUUAACAAACAAUGUUACACAACCCUUAUAAACACUCACACAAAGAACCAAACUUUAUCACAGAAACCAUACAAAUUCACACAUCCAAGAACAGAUCAAACCUCCCAAGAUACAAAACAGAACGUUAUAGAAAAAAGCUGCAAGCUUUGAUAAUGAGGCAAAACCCAGAUCGAAGACUGACCUUGGUUGCCGAAACCCACCACCAGAUCUCACAGGAAUGUCGUCGUCGCCAGCCAAAGACAACCGGAGAGAAACAGGGCAAAAGGGAAUAUGGGAGAGGUUCAAAGUUUGAAGUGAGAUUAUAUUAGAGCUAAAAAUAGGGANNNNNNNNNNNNNNNNNNNNGGCAAAUGCAUUUGCAAUUUUGGGUUUUAGAUAUUUUCUUUCUUCUAUUUUGUGUGUGUUUUCAUUGCUUUUUUCUCAUUUAAGAGGUUGAGAAUAAAGAUGUAGGAAAUCAUUCUAGUGAAGACCCUUAAGUUGAGGAUUUGGUGAGGGCUUUUCGGUUUAUGGUUUAAAAUACCCAAUUUUCGAUCACAUGUUGACAUCUUAUCUGUUCAGUUUUUAGGUUUAUAUGAGUAGAUCAUUUCUACAAAUUUUCACCCAAAUUGGUGUUCAUUAAGAUAACAAACUAGAUCAAAUUAAUGGACGAACCAAAUCUGCCAAAUAUGAACCGUUCAAGUUCAUAAUUGAUAAAUCACACUUAUGAAUGUCUUAACAAUUUUCAAUAUAGCUGAAAAUUUGAAGAAAUGAUAUACUCAUAAAUACCUAUAAACUGAACGGUCAAUAUGUAGAUAUAAGAUCGAAAUGUGGGAUAAACCGAAAAGUCUUUACCAAGUCCUCAACUUAAGGGUCCUCACUAGAAGGGCUCCCUAAAGAUGUAUACCAAAAAGAUAUCAACUUCCAAGUCUGUGUACAUGAAUCAUGUGCCAAUAUUUGUGUGAUAUACAUCUUAUCGGGUUGCAUUAGCUUUCAAGGUCUCUAUGGAUUGUGAAUCGAAAUUUACUCUUAUACAGUUAGUUGUUAGAGUUUAUUGUCUCAUGAAAAUUGUAGCGUUCGAAAAGAUACCAUAAUUUCAUGUCUAGACCCGUUUGGAGAUUUACUACUAUGAAACUCGCAUUCAUCCAAAGUACAGAAAACUAAAAUUUAGAAAGAAAAAAAAAACACCCUCUAGCCUCUGGUUUAUAUGUGGAAAUAAUACCUCCAAUAUUCUUCCCUUUAAUUUUGCUUUUCAAAAUCAAGGUGACAAUACAAAUGGCAUGAUGAUUGGAAAAGAAAAUGUCAAAUUAUUCCCUCUUUGAAUAUGACAAGUGAGAUUGAAGAAGAGUAUAGUGAAAUACAACAAAAUCGAGCCGCCCAUUACAGUUAAGGAGCCGUCAAGAACAAAGCCAGAAGGCUUAUAUUAUAUUUGACUGGUAUACAAUUCAGUGAAUUGGUAAUGUUGUAUAGGGCAGGCAAUUUGAGGAGGGACCAAGCACGAGGUUGAUGACCAGUUGUUCACAUGGAUAUAAAGGUUACAACUCUGUCACUGUCCCUAUUGUCAGCUGCGCUGGCUCCACAUGCUAUGCUGUUCUUCAACUCAAUCCAUGAGCUAUAUCAUCUUCUAAUAACAGAAACAACAAACCAACUUCAACAAUGAAGAAAUUUCCAAGUCUGUCUGUUUAGCAAGAUUUGACAAACUGUUUUAUGAGGAAAUGGUGAGGGUGAGAUGGAAUCUGGGAGAGUUGAAAAGGAAAUGUUGCCAACAAAUUUAUCUUGUGGGGUUAAGUUGGCAUCAACCAUCAAGCAUAAUUCCACCUUUGAUCAAACUUGGUUAAAGAAAAGCAAACUCUAAUACAGGAAAAGAAAUCUUACAGUAGUAACUUGCUGUUGGAGAACAAUGAUAUGAGGGAAAGUUAGUUGAACAAUAGGCAAUGUUGAACAUGCUACUCCAAUGUGAAUUCCUCCAGCCAUAUCAGCACUUCAUUUCUCUAAAAUGCAGUCAGCACCAAAACAACACAAAAGAUCAACCGUUAGAGUGAAGAAAGCAAAAUUCGGUAGGAUUUGGCAAAAAGAGGACUAACAGUACAAAUAAAAGCUUAAUGAUCAAGAUUACUUGCUACUGGUUUUGCUUUGUCUAGAAGGCAGUAGAAGUAACAGCUACCAAGACUACUACAACUAGGGCUAGUAAUCAGGCCAAAGUCGAGUUCAACUUUUCUUGAAAGAGGGUUGCUUGCAGUACUCAUAGACCUUCAAUAUGUGAAAGGGUAGAUAUAUAUCUUGUAACUUAUUAGAUGAAGUUUCAACAGUUGAAAUUUUCUUAGUUGAGGUUUUCUUGAAAACAGGUUUUCUUGCAGUUAUUCCAGAGCUUCAAUGUCAAAGGUAGCUAGAUAUCUUCCAACUUCUUGGAUGAAGUUCCUAUAGUUGGAAUUUUCUUUGGUGAAGAAUUUUCCAUCUUGAAGUUUUCUUUGAUGAAGUUUUCUCCAUAUAUCAUAUAAAAUUAGAGAUAUAUAAGAACACAUUAUCAGACUGGUCACUGAUGUUACAUACCAUUAUAAAGCUCCAAGUUCGGCCAGGGUCAUUGUAACGAGCAAGCAUACACCCGGCCUUAGGUUUGAGACCAUCUCUGAUAAGACUAGCACGCAGCAAAUUCUCCUUUUCACGAACAACAUCUUCGGUAGGCUUCCCACUAAACUUGAUAACAGCAGCAAUGCCUUCUUCCAUUUUUUUCAAGCUAAUUGUUUCUGCAUUAGGAUCUGGUAAACUGGCCACAUCACAUUUUUCUUAUUAAUAUAUAACUCUUCACAAGGACAAAUGUAAGUACGAUAUAUAUCUAACAUCUAUUAAUUCUCCACCUGCUUAAAUCCUUGUCAAGUGGAAGACAUACUUUGAUGGAUACUUUGGAAAAUUCAGCAUCAGAUGCCUCAGUGAACACCGGAGUUGUCAUUGGUAUCUUUUCCAUUUUUGAGUUCUUUCCAAAGAUGUACCUAAGCAAAUCCCAUUUCCAUAUCACAAAAAGAAACAAAAUUUUUUUUUUUUAAAGAAAAUAUAUUUAUAGCACAUGAUUAGCUAAGCUGUAAUGCAAGCACUCACCCAGUAACAUCAUUGAAACCAGCUGAUCCAGACAGCUUGUCUGCACUUCCUUCUACCACUAUAAAAGGGGAGUACUUUCUUACCUGUAGAAUCAAUCCAGGAAUCACCAACAAAACAGUAAAACCAUCCAAUCAAAUAGAGUUACAGAAGAAAACAAAAACCUUCAAAUGUAAUGCAUUUCAUUCAUGAUUCAUCAACUUUAGAGAAUGAAGUCUAAAAGCCCAACUUUUAAUGAAUGCAACAUUAGCCAUUCACUAAGGAGAACACACCUCAUAAUUUGCUGUUCUCUUUAGUAUGUCAUAUUUUGGUGUUUCCAAGUCUGGAGUUUUGUAAAUCCUCAGCUGCAGGGUUUUACAUACAAGAAGAGACUAAGGCAAGAAAGAAUCUUUAUACAUGAUAAUGGAAAGUGUAUAAUGAGUCUGCCAAUACCUGCUUGAAUACAUCUAACAAACCUUCUACAGAAAAAUAGUCAUUCUUCUUAAUGGAAUCCCAGAAGUCCUACAUGUACAUUACAGCAGAUACAUGAACAAUUUUAGAAAUUACGCUGUAUCAUCUACAUUGUACUAUAAAGAGUCAUGAGGUGAAUGAUUGUUACCACAUGGCUGCAGAACUUCCCAGUUUCGGGGUUGAUUCCCAUAACAGAAGUACCAGUGAAGAUCAAUUCUGGUUUCCAAGGCAGAGGGACGAACUUCAUAACCAUAGUCCACCUUGUAGUGAUUUCAUAUGGUCCUGACUAUAUAGCAUCUUAAUCAGUAACUUAAGACAGUCCCACUCCAAUUUCAAGUGGACAUCCACAUGAAUAUGCACAGAUUGAAAACUUUAAACUAAAAGUUUGAGUCUGCACUCAAAUUUUAUUUCCUCAUAUUCAACAUAGUCACAUUAACCUCAUCCAACAUAUAUAUGCAGCUAUGCAUCAUCCAAAAUUCUAAGUUACAUAAUUUCAUUCUAUGAAAAUCAUUGAACUGCACCCAGUUAAAUUCUUAUAUUUAAUUACUCAAUGCCUAAAAUUCCCAAUAUUCUAGUAGUUAAUCUAAUAAGGGAAAGAACACAGGUCCUUUAAACAGUUACCUGUUUUACCCAGUGCAACUGGAACUUGGGAGUGAAGACUGUCUUCAAGAAGGCAAUGUUCAACAAAUAGCCAGUUAUAGAAUCAUGCUUGGUGAUUGGAUCCCUGAACUUCACACGUUCAUCAUACGCCGUCCGAUCAAUUCCUUGAUCAUCAAACAAGUGAACUAAAUCCUGGUACAGAAAAUCGACCACCCUUUCCAUGUCGACGGUUGAUUUUGGCGGGCUUUGGUCUACUAAGCUAAGUCUAACAGCCCACUUUGAGUAGUUUUGCCUUGUUUGAAGCCCCAAGUGUUUGUGUUUCAAGGCUUUGGAACGUGGAUGGCAUGGUAGUUUAUUCGCUUUGGUGGUGCUCAGCCGCCGUAAACUGACGCACACGGCGGGGAUAGGCCUGAAAACUUGGUCGGAAAGCUGUGUGCUAGCCAUUUGGUGGUUGUGGUGGGCGUGUGACUGUGUUGGCUUGGUGCGUGACCAUGCAUUGCUACUAUGAAACAACUUAGCCACAAGUAUUGAUUGGUUGGUGUUCGUUUCUGAAAUUAGUGGCUACAAUUUCUUCAUGUAAACAUAAUUGAAUAGUAGAACUCGUCGUUUGUAAAUACCUUAUGAAAAUGAUAAGGAGAAACACUAGUAUCAUUGUCCUGCAGAUAUGACUUUAAGCUAAAUUCUCCAUUCUAUGGUAGACUAGCACAGUAUUGCAGCACAAUUUCACACUCUCAGUACAAGACUUUACUGAUGAGAAACCCCUCUGUAUAUUUGGCCAUCCAUGAACUUCAAUAUCAUAACUAAUCCAAAACAUAAACACCAAAUAAGUGACCAUUUCCCAUCUCCUAAAUCACACAUUGUGCAGGAGAAAGAUGAAAUGAAGGGCAAGAUUCCUCCUGCCGUAAAUAAGUUGGAUAAGUGAGGGCAUCAAGGACUUUUUCAUUUGCUAAGAAAUUAAAAUGUAGCUGGCUUAGUAUAGAACCCUCUUGUUUCCCAGGGUUCUGACAGGAAUCACAGGAUUAAAUGGCAACAGCCCUCCCUCAGUCUCCCACUCUCAAGACUCCUCUUUCAGGAUGUGUGACGACGAGUGCUAUGAAGGUAAGUCUCUCUUGACCUCUGCAUCCACCUCUAAGCUUGGUUUGUCCAUUUCUAAUGUCAUCACAAAAUGGCUCGAAUCCCUACCCGAAGAAAUCAUACCCAACAUCCUAAUCACACUACCUGUCAAAUCCCUCAUCAGAUUCACCUCUGUCUGUAAAUCUUGGGAGUCCACCAUCAAAAACCCAAAAUUUAUCCACACCCACCUCACCCACACUCUCAAUUCCAAUGACCAAAACGACACCCACCUCAUUCUCUUCCACGAUGUUCAUAGUAAACAUUUCUGUCACUAUCCUAAGUACAAGAAGCCUCUUUCUCUCUGCAUUAUGAUUACACUGCUGCUGUUACUGAGUAUUGCAAGAUUGAGUUUCCAGUAGCUAUCAAGGAAGCAGUCAUGAAUGCUUUUCGUGUUGUGGGUACUUGUAAUGGGCUGGUUUUGCUGGCUGAUGAUUUGGAGGAUUACGGUUACACCUUUGUUGUAUGGAACCCUAGUAUAAGAAGGUAUGUGACCCUUCCCAAGUCCACUAUGAGGUUUUCGAGGCAAGGUACGUAUGUUGGUCCGGUUGGUCUGGGUUAUGAUGCUGUUGGUAAUGACUAUAAGGUUGUGAGACUUACCACCCUUUUUAAGAAAGAGAAUCCUUGUCGGCCUGAUAUUUGGCCCACUUCAGUUGAGGUUUAUUCACUCGCCAAGGGCAUUUGGAGCACGGUCAGUCCUCCUCAAUGUAUUGUUCUUCAUUACUCCGCUGCUCAGGUUUUCGUCAAUGGGGCACUUCACUGGAUGGCUAAGCAUUGCCAUUGGAUAGAUGAGAUGGUACAUAUAGACUCUUUCAUUUUGACAUUUGAUGUGGCUGCUGAGUCAUUUGGAGAGAUAAUGUUGCCCAAGGGCUUCGAAUCAGAGGAGGCACAGUUGUCUACGUUGUCUGAUUCUGGAGAUAGAAAUUCUAUUGCUCUGUUUGUGAGGAAUGAGGUUCCGGGUGCUUUUGGUCUUGAAUAUUGGGUAAUGAAAGAGUACAGUGAGGAGAAAUCAUGGACAAAGUUGAUGGUUUUUGGUCCACAUGAUCGGUGGAUAAAUGUACCCAGGGUAUUGUGUUUUAGGAGGAGUGGUGAAGUGAUGUUGUUACUUAAGGAUGGCCAUACAGUUUCACUUGACAUUGUGAGCGAAGAAUUUAAACAUCUAGGGAUGUAUGGAGGGGACCUUAGCUCUGUUCACUCUUAUGAAGAGAGCCUUGUCUUGCUUGAAAGGAAAGAUGUUGUUUCUUACUGAGGCAAUGAACCAAGUAAGGUGAUUAUUUCUUGAACUUACCUUUGCUGAUAGCUUCUAAUUUUAAUGCAUAUGCUGCUAAUUGUAUAUGAUCUAUGACGAUUGGAUUUUACCUCAGCCACAAAGUUUGAUAUUGUGUAUGCUGAUUGCUUUGAUUGCUCUGUGCGUCAUGUAUUAUAUUUUUUCUUUGCCACAAGUUUGUUGUUCGUGUCUUUCUGGUGUUUCGUUAGGAACUUGCUAUAAUAUUGUUUUAAAUGUUUUCCUGUCUUAGCUAAUUGUCUUUCUUGUUCUGUCGUUUUGAGAACAGAGACUAGUAACCAAGUUGAUUAGAAAUCAAGCAAACCAACUUCAGAACAAUUCGCUGUACUUUAUGUUUGGAAAACAAGACUUAAAUGAGUAACUACUCAUAUCAUAUCAUUGCUUUCUCCGUGUUUUCUAUAAUAUCUGUUUGGUAUUACCUUAGACAGUAGAGUGUGGUCUCCAAGGAACUGUUGAGGCUACUGCAUUGUAUUUGAAAUUACAUGUUUUUAUUUGCUGUUGUUAACUGACCAUAUUAUCUCUGUCGAUGAUGUGUACUUGUCACUUUGAAUCGUUCCCAACCAACCAUAUUAUCUGGUCGAUUGAUUUGUUAGUUUUUGAUGACUACUUGUUACUUUUAAUAUGAAUAUGGCACAAAUCAUGCUAUUUGAUUUUCUAUUUGCAUAGGCAGCAUCAUAUGAAAGCUGAUGAAAUGUGGGAUACCAAAAUUAAGACCGAGUAAUAGUUGCAACUUUCUACUCUAAUUUCUGUAGAUUUUCUUUGUUUAUCAAUAUUUGGAUUGAAUUUCCAUGGCAUUAUCUUUUUCUUUUCUGGGUUGAAUUACCUCCGUUUUACAUUACAUGCCUUGGCAAUCUUGAGCUGAUUAUCAUCCUACAUCUCUGUCAUCAACUGUGAACCACAUACUUUCCCUUCACUUCACUCUCUAGUCUCUAUGUUGUGUUAAUACAAAUAUCUGAACAAAGCGUUGAAAAGUGUUCUACUACCACUUCCGGUGCGUUCAUGCAGCAUCCCUUUUGGGACUCCAUAGCAUUUGGGACUCCAUUUGUAUAAUAUAACUUGCUGAAGCAUUUAUUCAAUUGUGUGCAGGUCAGACAUUGGGACACAUGACUUUCAAGACUGUUUUUUGUAGCUGUGAAGUGUGAGAAUCUGAUGCAUGGGUUUGCAAUUUCAGUCACUCCAUCUACCGACUGAACUUUUGAAGUGCAUCUAUAUAGGAUAUGUAGUCCCAUCUAGUAUGGGUAUGUAAUCCUAACAUGACUCGCUUCUAAUUUGGAUCUUCCAUCAGACUUAUCAGUAGUUAUUAGUAUUCUCGUGUGUAACAAUAUUUCAACUGAAUAGAUUACCCUCUAUCUUAAUCGUUUACGCGAUCUCUUGUGGUUUUUCUUAACCGCAUCCAAAGCUUGAUGCUUACAAGCUUUGGAAUAUGGAGAAUGGCCUAAAUUUGCCUUUGCUACUUGUGAAUUCUUUCAUGCUUGUGUCUUUGCUAUUCCACAUUCUAUUGAAAGAUCCUUUAGACAUUGAGAACAGGUCAACUUGCGGAACAUGAUUCACCUUCGAUUAAUCAGGGAUGACACUAAGAAAUUGAUACUAGGAGAGAAAUUUGACAUAUGCUAAGUAUCAGAAGUCUCUCAAUAUACCCUGAAUUGAUUCCCUCAAAGAUUGAUGUGAAAUUGAAAGAAAGAACCAGUAUCAUACUCACUUCAAGCUAAUUUCUCCAAUCUAUGCUAGACUAGCACAUUCUUGCAGCACAAUUCCACACUCUAGCACACGACUUCACUGAUGAGAAACGCGCCAAGCAUAUCAUCAUUCCCCUAUAUACACACUUCAAUAUCCCAACAAGGCUGUUGUAUUGCCAAGUUGGGCUCUUUCAUUACGGACUUUGGUGGUGGUUCAACGGGGCCGUGACUGGAGUAAAGCCCAUAUGCAUUGCAAAUUGCUUUUCGGCUAUGAGACAUCUUACCCACAAGUUGAUUGGUUGGUGUUCAUUUCUGUUUACAUCCUUAAAUAUAUUAUGCAAAACUAUUAAGAUAAAGAUUUUAAACUAAAUAUUUCAAUACUAACCUCACAAUCAAGAAUUUUUGUGAAAAUAUAAUAUUAAACUAAAAUCAAUAAAAUCCAAACAACAACAAUUCUCUACAUCUUUACAUCAAAAAAAAAAAAACAAUUCUCUACAUCUUUUAAAUCAGAUUUGAGAAUAUACAAUGUGGUGGGAUUGUUCGUUCUUAUUUUUAUUUUAUUUAUGGCUUCAAAUGUAGUCUUUCAUAUAUAUAAUCGUAAAGAAGGAAGUCAAUAAAGAGAUCAAGGAGAAUAUAUAUAGGAUGUGGUUUGUGAAUAAAUAGAGGUAUGCGUUAAAUAUAUUGAUGAUAUAUUUUUAUAUUUUAUCAGAUUGAGGAAAAUAAAAUAAAGAAAAUAAAAACCAGAUUUUCUCUCAUAAUUUUGAGGGCAGAAUUAGAACGUUAAAGAUAAAAAAUAAGACGUGGGGUGAACUAAGCAUUUAGUGGGGUGGAAAUAGCCGCACCCUAAAAUAUUUGUAAAAAAUGUUCUAAAAGGUGCUAAAAACCAAGAAUAAGAAAACUCAUUAUUUGUAAAUUAAAGUGCAUAUCUUAAAUCAUUUUUGUCUAAGUAAAAGCAGGCAUGAAUCGAGAAUCUUAAACCACAAUAAUAUCAUACAACAAUUCUCAAAUAGAAAGAUCAUAGCCCCAUAAAUUACAAAAUUUGCUCACUCAUAUCCACCACUAAAGUAAUAUAUGUACAUUGCAUUUGUGUAGAGAACUACUAUAAAUUUAGGAAAAUUCAUACCUGUCCAAACUUUUUGACUGUUAUAUGUACACGUUUGUAAAACAUUGCCAUAUAAAGUGAACGUUGGACAUGCAUUAGAAAAACACAUUCUUCCACACUCUUGACACAAGUCGUCACUGACGAGAAACGCGCCAAGAAGCAUCAUCCCUCUAUAUAUAUGCCCAUCCAUGAACUUCAAUUCCAUAACCAAUCCAAAGCAUACACACCAAAGCUCCCAUUUCCCUCAUCUCCUAAUUCAGACUCUUCAUUUCAUAAGAAAACCCAUCAUCCAAAACCUCCAAAUCAACAGUCCAAACUAGAAGGAUGUCGAAAAUGUUUGCCCUUUCAAAGUUCGAGACUGCCUCAAUAUCAUGGUGGAAGAAGCAUGGAGAUGGAGACGACGACGGUGAUGAUGGAUACGACUAUGCCCCAGCGGCAUCAGCAUGCAUGGAAGGCGACAGCGAUGACGACGAUUCCGACUAUGAUUAUGCUCCGGCGGCCUCUACGGAAGGCGAUGACGACGACGAUGAUGGUGGUUAUGAUUAUGCUCCAGCUGCAUAAGAGCUGUGUAACUAGCAAUUCAGUCGAAAUUGCUUAUAUUAAUUCUUGAUAUGAGAUCGAGUGGCAUUUCUAUCACAGGGUUAUUUGCAAACCCCUAAGUAUUUUCUGACGGCCUUUGUAGCUCGUCAGAUGUUAUAGGGUAUUAUGUAUCAAUUUCUGAUCAGUAAACCUCUGAAUUAUGGUCCUCUACUACUCUAAUUUCGUUUUUUGUUUGAAACUCGAAGAUGCUAAUUAAGUAUUAACAUGAGCAAAUGUGGUUUGUGACACUGUUUCCUUUCAAUGAUCGAAGUCUGUAAUAGUUUCAAGCACACAAUAAGUCUCAUUUCCCUAUCUGCAAGUUUGCUUAAUUAGUGAAAUAGAAAUACUUUACAUGGAUGAUUUGAUCAUCACUUACUAAAUGAAACUACUUGACUAUCAAUUCGAGGAACCUGGAGAAACCAAAUUUGUUCAUAUGCUGUUGUUAUUUUCCAUCUUUCUUGUAAUGGCUCAGCUCACCCCGCACUUGCUUUAUCAUGAUAUUCUCUUCCUUUACCUUUUCAAUUAUAAUUCUAAUGUAUUUCUCUAAGUGGUCACUUUACUUAUCAUCUGCUAUAAACUAAAUUCAAACUUUCUGGGAUUGCUGACGAAGAGCUUAGUAUUCGACGAGCUACUAA